rnacentral:misc_RNA from 1 species
GUGAAUUGAAUAUGUUAGCGGACCUCUUCGGAGUCCCUAGCAUCAAAUCAUAUCCAUAACACCUGUGAACUGUAAGGCUGUCUUGAAAACGAAAGUGAUUAGAGCGCCUGCCCAUUUUAUACAAACAUUAAAGUAACAAACGUAGUCUUAUUAUAAUCUAAUAAAACUUUCAACAACGGAUCUCUUGGCUCUCGCAUCGAUGAAGAACGCAGCGAAAUGCGAUAAGUAAUGUGAAUUGCAGAAUUCAGUGAAUCAUCGAAUCUUUGAACGCACCUUGCGCUCUUUGGUAUUCCGAAGAGCAUGCCUGUUUGAGUGUCAUGAAAAUAUCAACCUUGACUUGGGUUUAGUGCUCUUGUCUUGGCUUGGAUUUGGCUGUUUGCCGCUCGAAAGAGUCGGCUCAGCUUAAAAGUAUUAGCUGGAUCUGUCUUUGAGACUUGGUUUGACUUGGCGUAAUAAGUUAUUUCGCUGAGGACAAUCUUCGGAUUGGCCGAGUUUCUGGGACGUUUGUCCGCUUUCUAAUACAAGUUCUAGCUUGCUAGACAUGACUUUUUUAUUA